GGGCACUUAGCUCAGCUGGUUAGAGCGCUGCGCUCACAUCGCAGAGGUCAGAGGUUCGAGUCCCCUAGUGCCCACCA
rnacentral:tRNA from 1 species